rnacentral:rRNA from 1 species
AACGAACGCUGGCGGCAUGCCUAACACAUGCAAGUCGAACGAAGCCUUCGGGCUUAGUGGCGCACGGGUGCGUAACGCGUGGGAAUCUGCUCUUGGGUUCGGAAUAACAGUUAGAAAUGACUGCUAAUACCGGAUGAGGUCUUCGGACCAAAGAUUUAUCGCCCAAGGAUGAGCCCGCGUAGGAUUAGGUAGUUGGUGGGGUAAUGGCCCACCAAGCCGACGAUCCUUAGCUGGUCCGAGAGGAUGGUCAGCCACACUGGGACUGGAGACACGGCCCAGACUCCUACGGGAGGCAGCAGUGGUGAAUAUUGGACAAUGGGCGAAAGCCUGAUCCAGCAAUGCCGCGUGAGUGAUGAAGGCCUUAGGGUUGUAAAGCUCUUUUACCAGGGAUGAUAAUGACAGUACCUGGAGAAUAAGCUCCGGCUAACUCCGUGCCAGCCGCCGCAGUAAGAC